rnacentral:rRNA from 1 species
CACGGGGGGAGCAAGCGUUGUUCGGAUUCAUUGGGCGUAAAGGGCUCGUAGGUGGCUCUGUAAGUCGGAGGUGAAAGACCACGGCUCAACCGUGGAAACGCCUUCGAAACUGUGGAGCUUGAGGCUGGGAGAGGAGAUCGGAAUUCCUGGUGUAGCGGUGAAAUGCGUAGAGAUCGGGAGGAACACCAGAGGCGAAAGCGGCGACCUGGACAAGUACUGACACUCAACUACGAAAGCGUGGGGAGCAAACAGG